CUUGCUCUGAAAAACACUAAGUGCCAUGUCAUGAGGACACUCAAGCAGUCCUGUGGAAUGGUCCAAAUAGCAAGGAACUGAGGUCUCAUCAUUCAGUAUCCACAUGUACCCAGUGAAGCCUAUGAACUACUGAAGAAUCCAAUUCCACCCUUCUCAAGGUUUUGUACACUUUUCUGCAUGCCAUACUGAGGAUUGUGAGGGACUGGCUGAUUCAGAUGUGCUAAGGGAGGGUAUGAGGACAAAAGACCUGAGGCUGCAGAAUGAAGGACAGAUAAGGGAGAACAAGGCUGCAAGCAUGAAGACCAGUCAAGAGAUCAAAACCUGAAGAAAAGAACAGUUGUUUGUUUUGUUCACCCCUGUAUCCUCAAGGCCUACCAUUGUACCUGGAAAACAGCAUCAGAUUCAUCCCAAAUCCAGUUCCCCUUCCUGUCAUCAGAUGACUGUCAGCAGAAAUGGAGGCAACAUCGCUCUUUGAUUACAUCCAGUGAGACAACCAGAAAAUUUCAGUCCUACAUGGUAGUCUGAAUGAUGAUGUCCAAGACAGACAGAGAUUAACAAGACAGAGAUUAAACUACUGUACAUACACAUUUCUGGUGAUGUAAGUGAGAUUCUAUAACAAACGUAAUGUUUAGAAAAAGGGAUCCAUAACCAAGGGCAAAUGUACAACAUUAAACUAAACAAGGUGACAUAAUCAACGUGUGAUACCCAGAAGCCAAAGGAGAGGAGAAACUUGGCAGUAGAGUGGACUAGGGGGGCUUUCCAGAGGCGGAGAGGUAAACUGACUUUGUAGGAUGGAAAAAUUUCAGAGAUAGGGACACCUGGGUGGCUCAAGCAGCUGAGCAUCUGCCUUUGACUCAGGGCAUGAUCCCAGAGUCUGGGGAUCGAGUCCCACAUUGGGCUCCCAGCAUGGAGCCUGCUUCUCCC